CGCCUUGCCAGCCCGCUCAGAAACUCAAAGGAAGUUGAGGGGGCCCGCACGAGCGGAGGAACAUGUGGUUUAAUUCGAUGAUACGCGAGGAACUUACCUGGGCUAGAACGCAAUCGGAAUCAGGCCGAAAGGUCUGCGCCAGCGAUGGCCGCUUGCGAGGUGCUGCAUGGUUGUCGUCAGCUCGUGCCGUGAGGUGUCGGGUUAAGUCCCAUAACGAGCGCAACCCCUACUGCUAGUUGCCAGCGGGUCAUGCCGGGGACUCUAGCGGAACUGCCAGCGUAAGCUGCGAGGAAGGUGGGGAUGACGUCAAAUCAGCACGGCCCUUACGUCCAAGGCUACACACGUGUUACAAUGGCCAGUACAGAGGGCAGCCACCCCGCGAGGGGGCGCUAAUCCUAAAAGCUGGUCCCAGUUCGGAUCGGAGUCUGCAACCCGACUCCGUGAAGCUGGAUUCGCUAGUAAUCGCGCAUCAGCCACGGCGCGGUGAAUACGUUCCCGGGCCUU
rnacentral:rRNA from 1 species